AAUUACAAGAAGAAGAUUAUGAUGAGGAACAGGCCAAUGUUGCAUUGAUGGCAACUAAAGCUGAUCCUAAAGGUUCUGAAGAACCAGAAGACAAAGUGUUGUCAAAGUCAGAAUCAGACUCCAAUUAUGAAGAGGUAUUUUCUAAACUAUCUCGUUCUAAUUUAGAUUCAUGUCUUUCUGAAAUGCUAAAAAAGUACCAAAGUCUUUAGAGUAGGUACAAGAAC
rnacentral:lncRNA from 1 species